rnacentral:rRNA from 2 species
UUGGUUAAGCUAAUAAGAGCGCAGGGUGGAUGCCUUGGCACUAAGAGCCGAUGAAAGACGUGAUAAGCUGCGAAAAGCUUCGGGGAGGAGCAAAUAUCCAUUGAUCCGGAGAUAUCUGAAUGGGGAAACCCGGCUGAGAAGACCUCAGUCAUCCAUACGCCAAUACAUAACGUAUGGAAGGGAACCCGCUGAACUGAAACAUCUAAGUAGGCGGAGGAAGAGAAAGAAACAUCGAUUCCCAAAGUAGCGGCGAGCGAAAUGGGAAGAGCCCAAACCAGAGUGCGUGCACUCUGGGGUUACGGACUGCAUAAGUGAGCUGAUUCGUUAAUGGAACGGUCCUGGAAAGACCGGCCAGAGAGAGUGAAAGCCUCGUACAUGAAAACGAUARGCAGCGGCAGGAUCCAGAGUACCGCGAGACACGUGGAACCUUGCGGGAAUUCGGGGGGACCACCCCCCAAGGCUAAAUACUCCUUAGUGACCGAUAGCGCAUAGUACUGUGAAGGAAAGGUGAAAAGGACCCCGGGAGGGGAGUGAAAGAGAACCUGAAACCCUGUGUUUACAAGCUGUGGAAGCACGUUAAGGUGCAACCGCGUACUUUUUGUAGAACGGUCCGGCGAGUUGCGGAUGCUGGCGAGGUUAAGGAGUAAAGCUCCGGAGCCGAAGCGAGAGCGAGUCUUAAUAGGGCGUAAAGUCAGCAUGUGCAGACCCGAAACCGGGUGACCUAUCCAUGUCCAGGUUGAAGUUCCCGUAAAAGGGAAUGGAGGACCGAACGCACAUCCGUUGAAAAGGGUGGCGAUGAGGUGUGGAUAGGGGAGAAAUUCCAAUCGAACCCGGAGAUAGCUGGUUCUCCUCGAAAUAGCUUUAGGGCUAGCCUCGUAUUAGUUUAGCGGAGGUAGAGCACUGAAUUUCCUAGGGGGCGUCAAAGUCUACCGAAGAAUAUCAAACUCCGAAUGCCGCAUAAAUGAUGUACGGGAGUCAGACUGCACGAGAUAAGUUGGGUAGUCAAAAGGGAAAGAGCCCAGACCUACAGCUAAGGUCCCAAAGUGUGUGUUAAGUGGAAAAGGAUGUGGGAUUUCGAAGACAACUAGGAUGUUGGCUCAGAAGCAGCCACACAUUCAAAGAGUGCGUAAUAGCUCACUAGUCGAGAGGUCCUGCGCCGAAAAUGUCCGGGGCUAAAACACAACACCGAAGCUUAGGAAUGUAAUUAUACAUUGGUAGAGGAGCAUUCUUAAAGAGACGAAGCAGUACCGAUAAGGAGCUGUGGAUUUUUAAGAAGAGAGAAUGCCGGAAUGAGUAGCGAGAUGGAGGUGGGAAUCCUCCAGGCCGAAUAUCUAAGGUUUCCAGAGUAAAGCUGAUCUGCUCUGGGUAAGUCGGGRCCUAAGGCGAGGUCGAAAGACGUAGUCGAUGGAUAACAGGUUGAAAUUCCUGUACUGCAUAUCAUCAGAACUGUGGGGACACAGAGAGAUACCGGAACCUGGGAAUGAAGAUACCAGGGCAAGCGAGGUAGGUGCUARGCUGGCAAAWCCGCYURGUAAGCCGAAGACGUGAUGCGGAGCGAAUUAAAGUAGCGAAGUCCGGGAUUCGAGCUGUCGAGAAAAGCCGCUAUUGUGUGAUAUGUACCCGUACCGUAAACCGACACAGGUGGAUGAGGAGAGAAUCCUAAGGCCGGCGGGAGAAGCAUUGUUAAGGAACUCGGCAAAAUGACCCUGUAACUUCGGGAUAAAGGGUGCCACAGAGAUGUGGCCGCAGAGAAUAGGCUCAAGCAACUGUUUAGCAAAAACACAGGUCUAUGCRAAACCGAAAGGUGAGGUAUAUGGGCUGACGCCUGCCCGGUGCUGGAAGGUUACGAGGAGAGGUUAGAGCAAUCGAAGCUUUGAAUCUAAGCCCCAGUAAACGGCGGCCGUAACUAUAACGGUCCUAAGGUAGCGAAAUUCCUUGUCGGGUAAGUUCCGACCCGCACGAAAGGCGUAAUGAUUUGAGCGCUGUCUCGACAAUGCACCCGGUGAAAUUGAAAUACCAGUGAAGAUGCUGGUUACCUGCGCCAGGACGGAAAGACCCCAUGGAGCUUUACUCUAGCUUGAUACUGGGAUUCGGUACUGCAUGUACAGGAUAGGUGGGAGACUUUGAUGACAGGACGCCAGUCUUGUCGGAGUCGCUGUUGGGAUACCACCCUUGUGGUACUGGAUUUCUAACCAACCUCCGUGACCCGGAGGUGGGACAAUGUCAGGUGGGGAGUUUGACUGGGGCGGUCGCCUCCGAAAGGGUAUCGGAGGCGCUCAAAGGUUCCCUCAGAAUGGUUGGAAACCAUUCAAAGAGUGCAAAGGCAGAAGGGAGCUUGACUGCGAGACYGACGGGUCGAGCAGGUACGAAAGUAGGACUUAGUGAUCCGGUGGUAGAAAGUGGGAUUGCCAUCGCUCAACGGAUAAAAGCUACCCUGGGGAUAACAGGCUUAUCACUCCCAAGAGUUCACAUCGACGGAGUGGUUUGGCACCUCGAUGUCGGCUCAUCGCAUCCUGGGGCUGAAGUAGGUCCCAAGGGUUGGGCUGUUCGCCCAUUAAAGCGGUACGCGAGCUGGGUUCAGAACGUCGUGAGACAGUUCGGUCCCUAUCCGGCGCGGGCGUAGGAUAUUU